CAGAAAGGUGGAGACAAGGCAGACAGAGGGGUCUAGUGCAGAGAGCUAAGAGGAUGUUUAUGAGCAAAGGCUGAAGGAACUGGAAUUUGUGCAGGGAGCCAGCAGUGCCUAAGCCUCGAGUGUGCUGCAUUUAAAAUACCACGCGAGGACUUCAAUUCACAGGAAACAGUUCAAGCCUGAGGCAGGUUGCUUUUCACUGGCUCAUGACUGUAAAUACCAAGCUGCAUACAGUAAAUGGAAGCAUUUUAAUAGUUGUUCACCUACUCUUCUGACAAGUGAAUAACUCUAGCUGCAAAACAAUCUGAAACUUUUAAAAGCUUGAG